rnacentral:lncRNA from 1 species
GGGCCCCCGUGGCCGCCACGGCCUGGCCGGCCUGGGAUGACAAUACUUGAGGAACCCUCGCUGGUGCUGCCCUCCUGCCCUCUGCUUGGAACCCCUCCCCUAAGUGUCAGUGAGUGGACGUAUAUAUUUGGAUCAAUCGAGUUGCACCCUUUGCCUCCCAGAUCAGUUCCUCCGGCCUCCCUGGGUGAGCAGAAGGACAGCUCUGGACACUUGUGUCAGCACCCAGCCCACUUGUCCCUGCCACAGCUUCAUAUAAGGUUCCCAGAAGGCCAUGGCUCCAACCCCUGCUCUCAUCCUUGGAACCACAGUCCCAGGGUGAAGGGAGGCAGCUUCAGUCCUGGGGCCAACAGCACAUCUGAGGAAAUCAGGGCCCCUGGAACACAGCCUGCGGGACUUGGGGCACAUCUGCUGCCCAAUCCAGAGCUUGAAUGCUCCUGGUGGUAAGGGAGGUAGGAGUGGAGUGAAAUGUCCCAGGGCCUGGGAACCAUGAAGAAUGCAACAAACUGCCCCUGCCUGCAGGAGCUACUAGGCUCACCCAGGAAGCCAGUCAGGCUGGCCACCAGCUAAGCCACAGGGA